UUGCAGUUGAUACUGUCAGUCUUGAGUACAGUAGAGGUGGGCGGAAUUCGUGGUGUAGCGGUGAAAUGCUUAGAUAUCACGAAGAACUCCGAUUGCGAAGGCAGCUCACUGGACUGCAACUGACACUGAUGCUCGAAAGUGUGGGUAUCAAACAGGAUUAGAUACCCUGGUAGUCCACACAGUAAACGAUGAAUACUCGCUGUUUGCGAUAUACAGUAAGCGGCCAAGCGAAAGCAUUAAGUAUUCCACCUGGGGAGUACGCCGGCAACGGUGAAACUCAAAGGAAUUGACGGGGGCCCGCACAAGCGGAGGAACCUGUGGUUUAAUUCGAUGAUACGCGAGGAACCUUACCCGGGCUUAAAUUGCAGUGGAAUGAUGUGGAAACAUGUCAGUGAGCAAUCACCGCUGUGAAGGUGCUGCAUGGUUGUCGUCAGCUCGUGCCGUGAGGUGUCGGCUUAAGUGCCAUAACGAGCGCAACCCUUAUCUUCAGUUACUAACAGGUCAUGCUGAGGACUCUGGAGAGACUGCCGUCGUAAGAUGUGAGGAAGGUGGGGAUGACGUCAAAUCAGCACGGCCCUUACGUCCGGGGCUACACACGUGUUACAAUGGGGGGUACAGAAGGCAGCUAGCGGGUGACCGUAUGCUAAUCCCAAAAUCCUCUCUCAGUUCGGAUCGAAGUCUGCAACCCGACUUCGUGAAGCUGGAUUCGCUAGUAAUCGCGCAUCAGCCACGGCGCGGUGAAUACGUUCCCGGGCCUUGUACACACCGCCCGUCAAGCCAUGGGAGCCGNNNGUACCUGAAGUACGUAACCGCAAGGAUCGUCCUAGGGUAAAACUGGUGACUGGGGCUAAGUCGUAACAAGGUAACC
rnacentral:rRNA from 1 species